rnacentral:rRNA from 1 species
GCACCUGAUUGAUUUUGGUCGCCAACGAGUGGCGGACGGGUGAGUAACACGUAGGUAACCUGCCCAGAAGCGGGGGACAACAUUUGGAAACAGAUGCUAAUACCGCAUAACAACGUUGUUCGCAUGAACAACGCUUAAAAGAUGGCUUCUCGCUAUCACUUCUGGAUGGACCUGCGGUGCAUUAGCUUGUUGGUGGGGUAAUGGCCUACCAAGGCGAUGAUGCAUAGCCGAGUUGAGAGACUGAUCGGCCACAAUGGGACUGAGACACGGCCCAUACUCCUACGGGAGGCAGCAGUAGGGAAUCUUCCACAAUGGGCGCAAGCCUGAUGGAGCAACACCGCGUGAGUGAAGAAGGGUUUCGGCUCGUAAAGCUCUGUUGUUAAAGAAGAACACGUAUGAGAGUAACUGUUCAUACGUUGACGGUAUUUAACCAGAAAGUCACGGCUAACUACGUGCCAGCAGCCGCGGUAAUACGUAGGUGGCAAGCGUUAUCCGGAUUUAUUGGGCGUAAAGAGAGUGCAGGC